rnacentral:misc_RNA from 1 species
AAGUCUCAUCAACUACCACAUCAGAGGCCAGAACUUGUCCUUUGCGCAUUACUGUUAGUAUUGAAGAUGUUAAAACAACUCUCUUCACGGAAGGAAAUUUUGCACAUGAUUUGAGAAUGUUUAGGGUUCCCUUUAUUGCAGGUUCAAGAAUUUCUGCCUGAGGUUCAUUUGUUGAACGAAUAACAGGAGAAGCUGUGUGAAAUACACCUUCA